rnacentral:rRNA from 1 species
AGCGUUGUUCGGAUUCACUGGGCGUAAAGGGUGCGUAGGCGGUCGGGUAAGUCUGAUGUGAAAUCUCACAGCUUAACUGUGAAACUGCAUUGGAUACUAUCCGGCUCGAGGAAUGGAGGGGAGACUGGAAUACUUGGUGUAGCAGUGAAAUGCGUAGAUAUCAAGUGGAACACCAGUGGCGAAGGCGAGUCUCUGGACAUUUCCUGACGCUGAGGCACGAAAGCCAGGGGAGCAAACGGG